UUUUUAUAGUUGGUACUGAUUACUGUUGUCUCAUGUCUGUUACUACUCAGCACGCAUCAUCUAUCUACUACCUACCUAUUGAUUGACGUUUUUAACUUUUCAACUUAAAUAACUUAAGACUCUAUUGUACAAGUUCCAUGUCUCAAUCGGAAAUGCUGGUACCCUCCUCAAGCCUUCUCUUCUCAAUAUUCCGAUAUAAUACAUUUCCAGCCAAUCUAAAAUUGGUUGUAAUGUAGGCUCUACCCGUUCCAACUCUUCACUUAAUAUUUCAAAGCUUUCAACAACGUUUAUGGGAGGAACAAACGCCAAGGCAGUUAUCAUACCUUACGCCAUCAAUCCCGCAGUUCCAAUUUGUUUCUUCAAAUUCUGAAGAAGAUGGAAAAAACACCCACGAAUUUCUACUUCAGGAAAUUCGUUCCUAAACGCGUUGUGGAUCGCUAGUUCAAAGUCCACAGAGACACUUCCUACGUUGAUGCCUGGCGAUAAAUUUUUUAUUUGUACAAGCAAAUUAUUGUAUGUUGCUUGACUUUUAUUGGGCAAUAUGGCAUAAACACAUGGAUGUACACCUCCAUUUCGACAUCCUAAUAUUACGAACACUUGA